rnacentral:rRNA from 1 species
UACGUAGGGUGCGAGCGUUAAUCGGAAUUACUGGGCGUAAAGCGUGCGCAGGCGGUCUUGUAAGCCAGAUGUGAAAUCCCCGGGCUUAACCUGGGAACUGCGUCUGAUACUGGAAGGCUUGAGUUCGGGAGAGGGAUGUGGAAUUCCAGGUGUAGCGGUGAAAUGCGUAGAUAUCUGGAGGAACACCGGUGGCGAAGGCGGCAUCCUGGACCGAAACUGACACUGAGGCGCGAAAGCCAGGGGAGCAAACGGG